CACGCGCGCCUUGCGCCGGAGCCGCGGAUCCGACUACACGCCAAUCGAGUGAUGGAGCAGUGGUUUGGUUAUAAUUGGAUCAGUUUAGUUAGGUAUUGCAAAUAUUGGCAGCCAGGGAAGCUGCCGGCGACCCAGUGAUGAAACCUAAUUGGCUGACAUCGCCCCCUCGGCACCGGUGGUUGUCGUCGUAUCCGUCGGCGCACGGAAAUUGACACGUAAAUACAAGGCGCAUCGCGUAUAGGCGGAAACUGGAAAUGGACGACGGGGAAUUCGUUCAACCGGCUGGUUUAAUUGGACUGCAAUGUUGCGACGGGACACAACCACGCCACGUCGAAAUUGCAUUGACAAAAGAAGACGGGGAUAGAUGCCGGGGAACGAUGACGAGAGCGAGAAAGAGGGAGAAAGAGGGGACGACCAGGAAUGAAUGAUUUGAAUUAUGUAAACAACACGAACCGAAGGUGACGGCGAAGGUGGAUUCAAAGUUAUUUUAUAGGUGUUUUGAAUGUGGGAUUGUGAUGCGAGAUGCUGACGCUCGGAUAGUUUCGUUUUUGAAGUUCUUUUAAGUAUCAAGCGGAGAGAUUUAG